AUGUCGACGGAUGCAGGGAAGAAGGUGUACGUUGUUGCAAUGGUGAUUCGGGUGAUCUACACCGGCAUGUACAUCGUCUCCAAGGCGGCCUUCGACGGCGGCAUGAAUACCUUUGUGUUCAUCUUCUACCGCCAGGCAGCCGCCAGUCUUCUCUUGCUACCCCUCGCCAUCUUCCUUGAAAGGAGAAACACGUCACCUAUGUCACUGUGGUUGUUCACCAAGAUAUUCAUGUAUGCUUUACUCGGGAACACGGUGAGCAUGAACCUGCACAACAUGAGCCUCAAGUACACCUCCGCGACGGUGGCUUCAGCCACGAGCAACUCCAUCCCCGUCUUCACCUUCCUCUUCGCCGUCCUCCUACAUUUCGAAGCCAUCAAGCUCCGCACCGCCUCGGGUAAAGCAAAGCUCGCCGGCGUCGCGCUCUGUGUCGCCGGGGUCCUUGUCAUCGCCCUCUACGCCGGCCCGCCACUGAACCCCCUCAACCACCACCGCGCCUUCGCCGCCGCCAUGGCCGGCGGGAAGCAAGGGGAUUGGAUGAAAGGCACGUUCCUGAUGCUCCUGGCCAACCUGACGUGGUCGCUCUGGAUCGUCCUCCAAGCGCGCCUCCUCACCGAGUACCCCAAUAAGUUGCUAGCCACGACACUGCAAUGCCUGCUCAGCACGGCACAGUCGCUCGCCCUGGCGGCUGCGGUGACCGCUUUCGGGAAGGACAUGUCCGUCGUGUGGAGGCUACGGCUGGAUGUGGGGCUCGUCGCCUUGGCCUACUCCGGGUUCGUGGUGACGGGGGUGUCUUUCUACCUGCAGGCGUGGUGCAUCGAGAGGCGAGGCCCCGUGUUUCUGGCCAUGACUAAUCCGGUAGGGCUCGUGCUCACCAUGUUCUGCUCCUCCUUCUUCCUCGGUGAGGUCGUUCACCUUGGCAGCGUCCUUGGCGGGGCGCUGCUGGUCGCCGGGCUGUACAGCGUGCUCUUGGGGAAGAGCAAGGAGCAGCAACAGCCACCGCCACCGCCACCGCCACCUAGUCUAGCAUCUGCAUCAGCAGCAUCCACCGUGAAACAAGGAUGCUGCAGUAGUAACGCUCGUAAUGGUGACAAGGAGGAUAAGAUAAAGUUGGAGGAGAAGAAUAUCAAGAUGGCUUCACAGGUGUAG
rnacentral:rRNA from 1 species